ACGCAAGCCAUCUAGUAAAAUGAGGAUGAUGCGUCGGUAA
rnacentral:tRNA from 1 species